rnacentral:rRNA from 1 species
CGGAGGGUGCAAGCGUUAUCCGGAUUCACUGGGUUUAAAGGGUGUGUAGGCGGGCUAUUAAGUCAGUGGUGAAAUCUCCGGGCUCAACCCGGAAACUGCCAUUGAUACUAUUAGUCUUGAAUAUUGUUGAGGUAGGCGGAAUAUAUCAUGUAGCGGUGAAAUGCAUAGAUAUGAUAUAGAACACCGAUUGCGAAGGCAGCUUACUAAACAAUUAUUGACGCUGAGGCACGAAAGCGUGGGGAUCAAACAGGAUUAGAUACCCUGGUAGUCCACGCCCUAAACGAUGAUUACUCGACAUACGCGAUACACAGUGUGUGUCUGAGCGAAAGCAUUAAGUAAUCCACCUGGGAAGUACGUCCGCAAGGAUG